rnacentral:rRNA from 1 species
GACGAACGCUGGCGGCGUGCUUAACACAUGCAAGUCGAACGCUGAAGCUCAGCUUUUGUUGGGUGGAUGAGUGGCGAACGGGUGAGUAACACGUGAGUAACCUGCCCCCUUCUUUGGGAUAACGCCCGGAAACGGGUGCUAAUACUGGAUAUUCACUGGUCUUCGCAUGGGGGUUGGUGGAAAGGGUUUUUCUGGUGGGGGAUGGGCUCGCGGCCUAUCAGCUUGUUGGUGGGGUGAUGGCCUACCAAGGCUUUGACGGGUAGCCGGCCUGAGAGGGUGACCGGUCACAUUGAGACUGAGAUACGGCCCAGACUCCUACGGGAGGCAGCAGUGGGGAAUAUUGCACAAUGGGCGCAAGCCUGAUGCAGCGACGCCGCGUGAGGGAUGGAGGCCUUCGGGUUGUGAACCUCUUUCGCUCAUGGUCAAGCCGCAACAAUGGUUGUGGUGAGGGUAGUGGGUAAAGAAGCGCCGGCUAACUACGUG